rnacentral:rRNA from 1 species
AACGAACGCUGGCGGCAUGCCUAACACAUGCAAGUCGAACGAGACCUUCGGGUCUAGUGGCGCACGGGUGCGUAACGCGUGGGAACCUGCCUUUAGGUUCGGAAUAACUCAGAGAAAUUUGAGCUAAUGCCGGAUGAUGUCUUCGGACCAAAGAUCUAUCGCCUUUAGAUGGGCCCGCGUUGGAUUAGCUAGUUGGUGGGGUAAAGGCCUACCAAGGCGACGAUCCAUAGCUGGUCUGAGAGGAUGAUCAGCCACACUGGGACUGAGACACGGCCCAGACUCCUACGGGAAGCAGCAGUGGGGAAUAUUGGACAAUGGGCGAAAGCCUGAUCCAGCAAUGCCGCGUGAGUGAUGAAGGCCUUAGGGUUGUAAAGCUCUUUUACCCGAGAUGAUAAUGACAGUAUCGGGAGAAUAAGCUCCGGCUAACUCCGUG